UUAAAAGGCUAGGGGUGCUUUCAAUGUCGGCAAUUUCGCCACGAAAGCUGAGAAAAACCCUUUGAACCUGACCCGGUUAAUGCCGGCGUAGGAAAGCCCACUGUUUUUUCC
rnacentral:ncRNA from 2 species